rnacentral:rRNA from 1 species
GUGGGGAAUCUUGCGCAAUGGGCGAAAGCCUGACGCAGCGACGCCGCGUGGAGGAUGAAGGCCUUCGGGUUGUAAACUCCUGUCAGAGGUGAAGAAAGCCCCUUCGGGGGCGUGACGGUAACUUCAGAGGAAGCCCCGGCUAACUACGUGCCAGCAGCCGCGGUAAUACGUAGGGGGCAAACGUUGCUCGGAAUUACUGGGCGUAAAGGGUGCGUAGGUGGCUGAGCAAGUCGUGGAUGAAAUCCCGAGGCUUACCCUCGGAACUGUCUUCGAUACUGCUCAGCUUGAGGAUGGUUGAGGAGAACGGAAUUCCCGGUGGAGCGGUGAAAUGCGUAGAUAUCGGGAGGAACACCAGAGGCGAAGGCGGUUCUCUGGGCCAUUCCUGACACUGAGGCACGAAAGCUAGGGGAGCAAACGGGAUUAGAAACCCCUGUAGUCC